UUGCUCCAGAAGAAGCUGGUUGCCAUGUCUUGAGGACAGUAAACCCUCUGGGGAGGUUCCUGUGGUAAGGAACAAGGGCUCCUGGCAAUAGCCUCUGAGUGAGCCACCUUGAAAAUGGAUUGUCCAGCCCCAGUCAAGCUUUCAGAUGACUGUAGCUCCUGCCAAUGUCUUCACCACAACCUCAUGAGAUCCCAAGCUACAACCACUCAGAACUUCAUCUUUUGGGAAGCACCAGGGAGAGCUGCCUGUGCCUGGCAGAAGCUGCCCAUGCCCCACUGAUACCCCACAGUACUUCCUGUUCUGCUUAGUACUCCUGCUUCUUUCUACAAACAACUGUGAUUCUCUACCUGGGAGCUUCCUCUGGCCACAGGAGCCUGCUCACCUGAUUGGGACACCCUAGCAGUACUGGCUCAUAGAUGGAAGGGACUUGCCUUGUCGCUGAUGAGACUUUCGACUUGGACUUUUGAGUCAAUGCUGGAAUGAGUUAAGACUUUGGGGAACUGUUGGAAGGGUGUGAUUGUGUUUUGAAUUGUGAGGACAUGAGAUUUUGAAGAGGCUAAUGGCAGCGUCCCCACCUAAAUCUCUUCUUGAAUUGUAGUUCCCAUAAUCCCCACGUGUCGUGGGGUGGAGCCGGUGGAGAUAAUUGAAUCAUGGGAACACUUUCCCCCAUGCUGUUAUUGUGAUUGUGAAUUCUCACGAGAUCUGAUGGUUGUAUAAACGCCUUCCCUCUUCGCUGGGCACUCAUUUUUCUCCUUCCUGCCACCAUGUGAAGAAGGAUAUGCUUGCUUCUUGUGCCAUGAUUACAAGAACACACUCAGAAAUUUUCUCAACACAGUUUCUAUGCAGAGAAGAGAUGUGGGACAGAUUUGAACUGCUGUCAUAUUUGUAUGAACCCAAGACAUUUUCCAAGACCAAGAGGGAUAAAGACAGCAAUUUCUAUGACUGGCAUUUUACGUGCAUGCACUGUUUCCAAGUGUUCUUGUGUUCUGUGCCUUAAACAUUCUGUGUUGCAACUUUAUGAAUUGAAUUAAAGAUAAUCCCAAGCCCCCAAUUGUCUCAAAAAGUGAAAAAGUAAAUGUUAUAGAAAGAAAAGCGGGAAAAACUUUAAGCAUGAAAUAAAAGAUGGGUUGUGAUAAAAGAGGACUGAAGAAGGAAAAGGAAUGAAAGGUUCUGCCAUCCUUCAUGGCAGCCCACUCCACUUGGUAUGAGAUACUGCUCCCUUGGCUGAAAGUUAACUGCUGUACUCCCUCCACUUUCUAUAAAUGACUCCCUGUGCCUUUCCUUCACCACACAACUCACACUCUCUUCCUUCCUAGUGAGUCCACUAAGGCUUCACUGCAUUAUUACAUUUAUUUCAUUUAGGAAAAACUGACUUUAUUUUCCUUCAAAUUGUUUUUUAUUGUUUAUAUGAGCUUGGUUUUAUUGUCAUUCUAUUUUUCUCCAUGAAAAUAGAGAAAAAUAGGGUCGAAAGGUUAGGUUGGGUGGAAAGGAAUUAUAUUUUUUCUCACUAAAAUUGAUGUAAAUAUCGUUUUCAAUUGAAUGAUUUUACACAGUGGCACAGUUUCAGGUAUGUUGCUAAGCAGGAAAGUUGUUAACCAAAGCAUGAAUGUAUUAAGGAGAUGUAUGCAGAAUGACAUGCAAGGUUAUCUAUGAUUGCUGAGUGAGAAAGAGCAAGUUGCUGAGUAUUAUAUAAGUAUGAUCUCACUUUUGUAAAAAAAAAAAAAAAAAAAGGCCUGGACUGAUCUGAAAUGACCCUAUUAAUAACAAUUAUGUCCAGGUCUGUAUUGCAUACUUGUCAUUCAUUACAGGAUCUUGAGACACAAUGCAAAGGAUCACAUCGCAGCUCUGUAACUUGUUAACUAUAAGAUUUUGAGUAACAUAACACCUUACUCCUUAAAAUUGCUUAAAAAAAAUCUGAACAUCAGGAAUAUUCUACUUCACAGGGUCGUUGUGAUAAUUAAAUGUAGUAAUCAAUGACAAUAGUGCCAGAUACAGUAGAUAGCCUACACUUUGCAGCUACUAUUUCUAUCUAUCAUCCAUCUAUUAAUAUAUAUCAUCUAUCUUUAACUUAUCAUCUAUCUUGUUCCAGUUUUUUAAAAUGAACAUGUAUUAACUUUGUAAAAAAU
rnacentral:lncRNA from 1 species